GGUUGUGCCCUUGAGGCGUGGCUUCCGGAGCUAACGCGUUAAGUAGACCGCCUGGGGAGUACGGCCGCAAGGUUAAAACUCAAAUGAAUUGACGGGGGCCCGCACAAGCGGUGGAGCAUGUGGUUUAAUUCGAUGCAACGCGAAGAACCUUACCUGGUCUUGACAUCCACAGAAGUUUGCAGAGAUGCGAAUGUGCCUUCGGGAACUGUGAGACAGGUGCUGCAUGGCUGUCGUCAGCUCGUGUUGUGAAAUGUUGGGUUAAGUCCCGCAACGAGCGCAACCCUUAUCCUUUGUUGCCAGCGAUUCGGUCGGGAACUCAAAGGAGACUGCCAGUGAUAAACUGGAGGAAGGUGGGGAUGACGUCAAGUCAUCAUGGCCCUUACGACCAGGGCUACACACGUGCUACAAUGGCGCAUACAAAGAGAAGCGACCUCGCGAGAGCAAGCGGACCUCAUAAAGUGCGUCGUAGUCCGGAUUGGAGUCUGCAACUCGACUCCAUGAAGUCGGAAUCGCUAGUAAUCGUGGAUCAGAAUGCCACGGUGAAUACGUUCCCGGGCCUUGUACACACCGCCCGUCACACCAUGGGAGUGGGUUGCAAAAG
rnacentral:rRNA from 1 species